rnacentral:rRNA from 1 species
GUCCUGGCCCUAACGGUGCAUGUUUGCUGUAAGAGGAAUCGACCCCUUUGUGGCGAAGCUAACGCGUUAAACAUGCCGCCUGGGAAGUACGGCCGCAAGGUUAAACUCAAAGAAUUGACGGGGCCGUGCACAAGCGGUGGAGUAUGUGGCUUAAUUCGAUGCAACGCGAAGAACCUUACCUGGCCUUGACAUGCAUCUAGUAGAAGGGUGAAAGCCUGACGAGGUAGCAAUACCAGGAUGCACAGGUGCUGCAUGGCUGUCGU